UACGUACGAGGCGAGCGUUAUCCGGAAUUACUGGGCGUAAGCGCGGCGCAGGUGGUUCGUUAAGUAGGGCGUGAAAUCUCCCGGGCCUAACUGGGGAGGGUCGCCCUAGACUGGGCGGACUUUGAGGCUGGCAGAGGUAGGUGGAAUUCCUGGUGUAGUGGUGAAAUGCGUUAGAGAUCAGGAGGACACCGGUGGCGAAGGCGGCCUACUGGGGCCAAGCACUG
rnacentral:rRNA from 1 species